UACCAGCACCCCGAGUGGUCGGGACGAUUAUUGGGCCUAAAGCAUCCGUAGCCGGUCCUACAAGUCUUCCGUUAAAUCCCACCUGCUUGAACAGAUAGGGCUGCGGAAGAUACUAUAGGGCUAGGAGGCGGGAGAGGCAAGCGGUACUCAGUGGGUAGGGGUAAAAUCCUCUGAUCCAUUGAAGACCACCAGUGGCGAAGGCGGCUUGCCAGAACGCGUCUCGACGGUGAGGGA
rnacentral:rRNA from 1 species